UAUAGUCCUUAUCAGUGAAAUUGUUGGAAUGUGUAGGAAAAGGACCAUAACAAACACUCCAACCAGCAAGAAAUUUCACAUUUCAUGACUUCGUUUGUUUACGGUUGCCACAGCAACAGACAACAGAUGGUUAGCGGUGGUCAUGGGAGGCUCUCAGGUCGAGUACGUGUUCAUUGAACCACGCCACCGAUUCAUGCGGUCGCCACAUGACGGAACUGCAUGUGUGCUGGUGAAAGCACAUCUGCAUGCGUGAACUCACCCACACGACAAAUAAUAACCUUUAAUUAGCGACAUUUGUAAUGCAUUUGUGAAAAUUAGAUUGACCUGUGGAGCCACGGAGGCCAUGCCGUACAUUCUGUAUGUCUCAGAAAUCAGUCACCUCUUAGAAUAAUGAGUUGCUUAAGUGAAAAGCAGAAGUGGAGCCUCCUGGAUAACCAACAGGAAUGCAGCAAGUGGUUCUGGAUGUUCAACAGUCCUAAGAAAUGCAUGAAGGGGGCGUGUCCAAAGCAGGAGGAGCUUCUUAAAGAGACAGAGGCCAAUUUCAGCUUCAGAGAAGACAGAAAGCUGGCAGAGGCAGUGAAAUACUUUGGGUCAUGUUAUCCUUGGAAACCUUGAGUCCUGACAGUCAUGUGGAUGUUACUUUGAGUCGUUCCAGCUAAAUGGCGUUGCUAACAGAGCGCAGCCCCGUUAUUCCCUGACUGUGGCCUUCUCCAGCAGGAUAAUCAGCCCUGCCACGUCGCUCCAGCAACACAUGGUCAAGGUGUUGACUUGGCCUCCACAUUCUACAUCAACACGCACAACUCAAUGAGUGCUUAAAGUGACGUACAAAUGUAUCAAUCCCACUUCA